rnacentral:pre_miRNA from 14 species
UUUUUGGUAUUACUGAAAGACCCCCGGAGCGGGGAGACUCUCACUCAAGUCUCGGGAUGACGUGACCCCCCAAGAACUCACGUAAGACC